AACCUGGUUGAUCCUGCCAGUAGCCAUAUGCUUGUCUCAAAGACUAAGCCAUGCACGUCUAAGUACAAACUAAAUGAUGGUGAAACUGCAAAUGGCUCAUUACAACGGUUAUGAUGUACCCGGGAGUUCCGAUGGAUAUUUCCAGUAACACUAGAACUAAUACAUGCUCCUGCGUUUAUUAGUUUCGCACAGUCCGUCGCUGAGUCAUGGUAAACAGUUGAUCGACUCGACGUCCCGGAACAGUUUCCGCCCCAUCAGCUUC
rnacentral:rRNA from 1 species